rnacentral:rRNA from 1 species
AUUGAACGCUGGCGGCAUGCCUUACACAUGCAAGUCGAACGGCAGCACGGGAGCAAUCCUGGUGGCGAGUGGCGAACGGGUGAGUAAUACAUCGGAACGUGCCCAAUCGUGGGGGAUAACGCAGCGAAAGCUGUGCUAAUACCGCAUACGAUCUACGGAUGAAAGCAGGGGAUCGCAAGACCUUGCGCGAAUGGAGCGGCCGAUGGCAGAUUAGGUAGUUGGUGAGGUAAAGGCUCACCAAGCCGUCGAUCUGUAGCUGGUCUGAGAGGACGACCAGCCACACUGGGACUGAGACACGGCCCAGACUCCUACGGGAGGCAGCAGUGGGGAAUUUUGGACAAUGGGCGAAAGCCUGAUCCAGCCAUGCCGCGUGCAGGAUGAAGGCCUUCGGGUUGUAAACUGCUUUUGUACGGAACGAAACGGCCUUUUCUAAUAAAGAGGGCUAAUGACGGUACCGUAAGAAUAAGCACCGGCUAACUACGUGCCAGCAGCCGCGGUAAUACGUAGGGUGCAAGCGUUAAUCGGAAUUACUGGGCGUAAAGCGUGCGCAGGCGGUUAUGUAAGACAGUUGUGAAAUCCCCGGGCUCAACCUGGGAACUGCAUCUGUGACUGCAUAGCUAGAGUACGGUAGAGGGGGAUGGAGUUCCGCGUGUAGCAGUGAAAUGCGUAGAUAUGCGGAGGAACACCGAUGGCGAAGGCAAUCCCCUGGACCUGUACUGACGCUCAUGCACGAAAGCGUGGGGAGCAAACAGG